rnacentral:tRNA from 1 species
CGGGUUGUGGCGCAGCUUGGUAGCGCACCUGACUGGGGGUCAGGGGGUCGCAGGUUCAAAUCCUGUCAGCCCGA